AUCCAGUUGGCAGCUGGUCACUAGUGGUGUCCCCCAGGGAUCAUCCUUCUUAAUAUCUUUAUUGGUGUUUUGGAUGAGGGAAUUGAGUCCACUAUUAGCAAAUUUGCAGAUGACACUAAGUUGGGGGGGGAGUAUCAUGUUGAACUGCUGAAGGCAG